rnacentral:rRNA from 1 species
CUAGCGACUUCAGAGUUUGAUCCUGGCUCAGGAUGAACGCUAGCGGCAGGCUUAACACAUGCAAGUCGAGGGGCAGCAUGAGAUGGAGAUUCGUCAAAGUCUUGAUGGCGACCGGCGCAAGGGUGCGUAACGCGUGAGCAACUUGCCCGUUUCAGGGGGAUAACCGGUGGAAACGCCGACUAAUACCCCAUAGUACAACUUUAAGGCAUCUUUUAGUUGUUAAAGAAUUUCGGAAACGGAUAGGCUCGCGUGACAUUAGCUAGAUGGCGGGGUAACGGCCCACCAUGGCGACGAUGUCUAGGGGUUCUGAGAGGAAGGUCCCCCACACUGGAACUGAGACACGGUCCAG